rnacentral:rRNA from 1 species
UGCAAGUCGAGCGGAAACGAUGGUAGCUUGCUACCAGGCGUCGAGCGGCGGACGGGUGAGUAACGCGUGAGAAUCUGCCCAUUUGUGGGGGAUAACUCGGGGAAACUCGAGCUAAUACCGCAUAAUCCCUACGGGGGAAAGCAGGGGACCUUCGGGCCUUGUGUAGAUGGAUGAGCUCGCGUCGGAUUAGCUUGUUGGUGAGGUAAAGGCUCACCAAGGCGACGAUCCGUAGCUGGUCUGAGAGGAUGAUCAGCCACACCGGGACUGAGACACGGCCCAGACUCCUACGGGAGGCAGCAGUGGGGAAUUUUCCGCAAUGGGCGAAAGCCUGACGGAGCAACGCCGCGUGAGGGAUGAAGGCCUCUGGGCUGUAAACCUCUUUUCUCAAGGAAGAAGAUCUGACGGUACUUGAGGAAUAAGCCACGGCUAAUUCCGUGCCAGCAGCCGCGGUAAUACGGGAGUGGCAAGCGUUAUCCGGAAUUAUUGGGCGUAAAGCGUCCGCAGGCGGCCUUUCAAGUCUGCUGUUAAAAAGUGGAGCUUAACUCCAUCAUGGCAGUGGAAACUGUUGGGCUUGAGUGUGGUAGGGGCAGAGGGAAUUCCCGGUGUAGCGGUGAAAUGCGUAGAUAUCGGGAAGAACACCAGUGGCGAAGGCGCUCUGCUGGGCCAUAACUGACGCUCAUGGACGAAAGCCAGGGGAGCGAAAGGGAUUAGAUACCCCUGUAGUCCUGGCCGUAAACGAUGAACACUAGGUGUCGGGGGAAUCGACCCCUUCGGUGUCGUAGCCCACGCGUUAAGUGUUCCGCCUGGGGAGUACGCACGCAAGUGUGAAACUCAAAGGAAUUGACGGGGGCCCGCACAAGCGGGGGAGUAUGUGGGUUUAAUUCGAUGCACCGCGAAAAACCUUACCCGGGGUUUGACUUCCUGCGAAUCCUCUUGGAAACGAGAAAAGGGCUUUCGGGAACCCAGUGACAGGGGGUGCAGGCUGUCGCCACUCAGGGUCGUGAAAUGUGGGUUUAGUCCCCCAACGACGGCAACUCUCGUUUUUAUUGGCUCCUUUAAGUGGCUCUCUCUUAAAAAACCUCCGGCGGAUACCCGGAGGAACGGGGGGAUGAAGGCCGGCUCCAAG